rnacentral:rRNA from 1 species
AGCGAACGCUGGCGGCAGGCUUAACACAUGCAAGUCGAGCGGGCAUCUUCGGAUGUCAGCGGCAGACGGGUGAGUAACACGUGGGAACGUACCCUUCGGUUCGGAACAACUCUGGGAAACUGGAGCUAAUACCGGAUACGCCCUUAUGGGGAAAGGUUUACUGCCGAAGGAUCGGCCCGCGUCUGAUUAGCUAGUUGGUGGGGUAACGGCCUACCAAGGCGACGAUCAGUAGCUGGUCUGAGAGGAUGAUCAGCCACACUGGGACUGAGACACGGCCCAGACUCCUACGGGAGGGAGCAGUGGGGAAUAUUGGACAAUGGGCGCAAGCCUGAUCCAGCCAUGCCGCGUGAGUGAUGAAGGCCUUAGGGUUGUAAAGCUCUUUUGUCCGGGACGAUAAUGACGGUACCGGAAGAAUAAGCCCCGGCUAACUUCGUG